CUCGCACAGUCGCUCUUGUUUUAUACUUUCGUGCGAACUCGCGUAUUAAAACAUUAUAGCAGUGUAACGGCCACGUCGGUCGGUCGGUCGUCGUAACUAUAGACCGAACUCUGCAGAGUUUCCCUGAUACUUUUGAUUUUUAUUUACAACCAUUGACUAUAAAUACGCCGACGACGUUUACUGCCGGCCAAAGACUCCCGGUCGGUUACUGUACUUACACUACUGCAACUACGCUAUAAUAUAUACGUGUUGUGUUAUUAUACUUACCUUAACACUAUACCCAUAUAAUAAUAAUAUAC